rnacentral:rRNA from 1 species
UACAGAGGGUGCAAGCGUUAAUCGGAAUUACUGGGCGUAAAGCGCGUGUAGGCGGUCCGGUAAGUCUGCUGUGAAAGCCCCGGGCUCAACCUGGGAAUGGCAGUGGAUACUGGCAAGCUAGAGUGCGGUAGAGGGGUGUGGAAUUCCCGGUGUAGCGGUGAAAUGCGUAGAGAUCGGGAGGAACACCAGUGGCGAAGGCGGCACGCUGGAGCAGCACUGACGCUGAGGCACGAAAGCGUGGGGAGCAAACAGG